rnacentral:lncRNA from 12 species
CCUGGUGACCUAGAAGAUCACGAGAGGAAAUGAAGCCACAUGCACUGUAUAGACUUGCAGUGUCCCAUUAAUGAAUUCCCUGUAAGUAAAAUUAGAACUUCAUCUCCUCAGCCCCACAAGCGCAUGUCAAGUGUCCGGUGGCCACCAUGGUGCACAGCACAGACCACCGUCAGCGUUUCCAUCAUCUCAGAAAGCUCGAGUGGACUGGACUGGUUCAUCUCUAACUCCACUCGGUUGGAAUGAGAAGCCAGGAGCGGUUGAUGAGAUCUCCAGCUCACGCUGACCGUUGGACCCGGAGCCCAGGAAAGAGGAGGAGCCAGGGCUCCAGCUGCAUCGGUGGACCCCUGGCCACUCAGUGGGAAUCGGGGCUGAGCGCAGCGUCUUUGGGAGCAGCACCCUCCCGGACGGGCAGGCAGUACGGAGGGACGCCACAUCUUGCAAAGGUUCUCUGUUGCCCAGCGCUGUGGUGCUGCAGCUUCUGCUUCUGUGGUGCCCGCAGGGUCCCACUCAUCCUGCAUCUUUGCAGUUUUGCAGACGGUAACCCCAUAGCCUUGCUACCCAACACCUCAGACUUCACCCCUCCAGCCACAUGUCCUGGUGCCUGGGUUUGUUUGGGGGAAAUACCUUCCAGGCUACGGGAGGGAAGGGUGGGGAGGGGGGCCUGCUUCACUGCUGAUGCCCCUCUCUCCCCUGCACCCCAUAGACAUGCACAGAGAUGUCUGAGGCCAGGUGGCUGAGUGUGGGGUGUGCAGGACGACUUUGGUGGUAUGGGUGGACAGUGCCGUACACCUGAAGGCCGGCCCGUAGAGGGUUGAACAGGACCCUCCAGGAACAUAUGUCCUCCUGGAACCACAGAAUGUGACCUGAUAUGGAAAUAGGGUUUUUGCAAGUGUCCUCCCUUAAAGAUCUUGUAGUGAGACCCUCUAGAUUUGGGAAGACUUUUGACCCAGUGAGAUGUCCUUACAAGGAGGGAGGUGGAGAGACACGCUGAUAAGAAGUUGGCAGGGAGAUGGAGGGAGCCUGGAGCCACCGGGAGCUGGAGAAGGAAGGGAUCUCCCCUGAGCCUCCAGAGGGACACAGCCCCCCGACACCUGCUCUCAGAGUGAGAGUGCGUUCCUACUGUUCAGAGCACCCUGGUUUGAGGCACACGGUCACGUCAGUCCCAGGACCCUUGCACAGAACCCCAUGAUCAGUCAACAUUACCUGGACAAGGAUGGCUUGUCACACUUCCUGAGGCCCAACAUUUGGACGACAAAGGAAGAAUGGACCUAGGAGGCUGUGGGGUCUCUCUCCAGGCACCCCCUACCACUUGCCAGUGGUGGAUGGAGGGCAGAGGACAGGGUGCAGGGUGCGUGUGCUCUGCAGGCCUUUCAUUCAGUCUUUGCUACAACUCUGUGGGCGCCCCCGCACUCUGAUGAGGACAUUGAGGCCCAGAGAGGCUCCCCAAGGCUUCACAGCUUGUAGGAGGCAAAAUCGGGGAAGCCUCCGGAAGCCCAGCAGCAGAUGGUGGGUUGGGACCAGCGCACGUUGGCAGGCCAGCCUCUCUUGUUGGGGAUUGUGGCCAUCUUUCCAAGACUUCGGGGUGCCUGCUUCUGCUUCCGUGGGGUCCAGUGGAGCUGAGGAAGCAGGAAGGCAGGUGCUGACCAUCUGCUGUCCAGGGAUGCUGUCUAGGUGAGGCCAUUUGGGGGCUGCCCCAGAUCUGUGGAGUGAGACCCCAGGGCAUCUGUGUGCACACGGCAGUUGAAGAAACCCUGGACGUGGGCUGGAUCCCGCGCUCCCAGAAACCAGGCCAACCGGGAGGGACUGCACACUGUUCUCUACCCAGACCCGUGAGCUGAGAUGUCCCUCCUGGCUGGCACCCGUUCCCAGGAAGUUAACCAUCACUUAUAAGAAAUCAGUCACCCAUGCCCUUCCUCCUAUGCUGCUCACGGUGCAGGGAUGGAAGCUUCUGGAACGGGGGGUCCUGGGACAGCUGAGCUUGGGCAAGGCAAGCAGCAGAGCUCUGGGUGUGCCCUUCCCAGGGCAGUGCUGGUCCUCCCUGCAUCCCUUCCCAGUUUGGCCUCUGGGAUGUGGUGGCUCUCGGGCUGGGGUCGCAGAGGGGACCCGUUGGACGCAGAUUCCCCUGCUUUGUCAGGGGCCUCACAGAAUUCGGGCCGAAUGGUCCCAUGAUUUGAUGUGUUUUGUCACCACCCCCCUUCUGUGACACCGAGGACUGUGUGAUACCAAGGACUGUGUGAUACCCCCAGUUUCUAGGAGAUUGAGGGCGUCUGGUGGGCUCGGGGCCUGCAGUGGACUCAGAGUGUGCGGUACUCAGAGGCCCAGGGCCCGGGUGGUGGAGAAGGAUCCUCCGAGCCUUUGUGGGCCUUGGCUCCCUCUGCUAGGGAUGGGGGCCCGCAGCGACGGACGGCCCAGCCGCCUUGCAGGGGUGUCAGGUCUGAAUGGAGAGGAGCCAGAGGUGGCGGGAGUGGCUGAUGGACACACCUGCCCUGGAUGCAGGCACUGCUCUGUGCAGCAAACACGCCCUCUGCUUCCUGUCUGCCCGCACGGCCCUCGGGCAUGUGCUGCCCAAAAGGGAUGCCCACGGUGUCUCCGGACACUUCCACAAUCUUGCUGUCAAAGGGCAGAUGUCUUCAGGCCUUGCUGCUGUGCUUUAAAAAUAUGUCCUUAGUUACAAAGGAAAGGAAAGACAGGAAAGGCCUCUUAAGAAUGGAAGGGAAGCGUGUAUAACACGGGGUCACCAUGCUGGCCACCUGAGCUGGUGUGGUCUAACCUCCUCAGGCGGGAGUACAGGCUUUUUGUGAUCUGACCUGUGUCUUUCUCAGCAGCCUGCUGUCGCCUGAGCUGCAUUGGGCUUAUUAUUAGUUAUAUAUUUUUGAACAGUUGGGUACCUUGUCUUUGCUCGUGCUGUUGCCUUUGCCUGGAGUUCUCUUUCUUUUGUGUUUGACAGACCCCUUCUCAUCCUCCGAGAUGGAUUUACAGAAAGCUAAAGAAUGUCAGCCUUAGGGCCUCUCCUGCACAGCACCUGCCAAGCCCCUCUAUCCCUGGAAAGGGGCCCUAGCAAUGUGUUUGUAUGACAAUGAAUUUUUAAGAAUUUUGCUAAAGUAAGAUGCUUUGCUUGUGCUUGGCUAAACCCACUGGCUCUUCCCGCUCUGAUGCCCUGGCCUUGCACUCCAGCGUCAUGACAGCAGGGGCAGCGGGGAUGUUCCUGGAGGUACCCCCGCCCCACAGAGCCAGCUCCCAGAGCCUUACCCAUACCACACUGACCAUGUACCUCGCUGGCACGUCUGCAGGUGCCCCAGCUCACGUCCACCGUGACCUGAGCCCCAGAUGCAUGCUCCAAGCCUUGCCAUGUGGUUUCACGGUGUUUUACGGAAUGUAAACAUCUAUUUUGAGAUGGAAGAGGAACUCAAACACUGGUGCAAGAUCCGAAAGUUUAUUUAAAAAGUUAAUAAAGCUCAAGGACACCGUUUUAGCUGCA